rnacentral:rRNA from 1 species
UUUUGAUUAUAAUUUAAAGUUUAACCUGCCCUAUGAUUUAUUAUUAAAUGGCCGCGAUAUUUUGAUCGUGCAAAGGUAGCAUAAUAAUUAGUUUUUUAAUUGAGAACUGGUAUGAAUGGUUGAACGAGAAAAAAACUGUCUCAAUUUAAUUUAAAUUAAAAUUUUAUUUUUAAGUUAAAAAGCUUAAAUAUUUUUAAAAGACGAGAAGACCCUAUAGAGUUUUAUAUAAAUUUAUUAUUUUAAAAAAUUUAAGAAUUUUAAAUUUAAUUAUAAUAAUUUAUAUUUGAUUGGGGUGAUUAAAAAAUUUAAGGAACUUUUUUUAAAUUUAAACAUAAAUUUAUGAAUAGAUGAUCC